UGUUCACCUCCUCUUUGUAGUCAUGAAUCUAGUGGCAGAAGUAGGUCGUCUGUCUCUGUGUCGAAGGUUAGUUUUAGAAGUUAGUUCAAUUUCGUUAAAUUUCGUGGUAAGCUAAUGACUAUUGAGUUCUGCUGCACGCUUGGCGAUGUAAUUAUUUCUACGGUAUGUAGUUAAAGCCAUGAUUUAGCGGUUUUUAACAAUGCGGCCUUGCAGAACUAUGCACGUGGAGAAUUAAAGAAAUGAAGCCGGGCUAUGGGGGAACUAACGUUAACUUGGUAGUUCAUCCUGGACUGUGCUGUGGUACGUGUAUGAGCUGGAACUAAGCAUGGAGGGACUGCUGCUGGCCCUACUAACUUUAAGGAGUCUUCACAUCAUGAGGUUUUGAAACUGUACCAAUGAGGUUGAUGGGUGUCAGCAUCUGAAAAGGUGUUCCUUGGAAGGGCUUCCAGAGAAGGACUCCUUGAACUGGACAUGUGUAUUUAAGGGCUUCUUUGUCUGGUGUUGAGCAUCAUCUCCAUGCAUUUUCUCAACUUCUGAAAUGCACUUCAGGUUCUAAGUACUGGACCACUUCCCAAGCUGACUUGUGCUGGUAACCUCAUGGAUCUGCUGCUACAUGUCAGUUUCUAGUCUGGCCCAGUUUUGCAACAGCAAACCUUUACUACAAUGUAAAUCUAAUUUGAAGUAGACUAUUUUGUAUGCUACAUUUUAUCUUGUGUGAAAGUAAAGAUAUUACGGCAUCAGAAACUAAAAUGUUUAUCAUUUAUUUUACUCUUUCCCAAAAAAUGAUUUCCCCUGCUGACAUUUGACAUCAAUUGCCUUUUCAAACUUUAAUAAAUGCUUUCAGCGAUC